rnacentral:tRNA from 1 species
AUGUAGCUCAGUGGUCGAGCAUUUGCUUAGAAUGUAUCAGACUCUGGGUUCAAUCCCCAGCAU